AAUAGAUUGUUCCCUUUAGUUUACGUUAUUUAAAAGACAAUUAUAUUCCUAUUUGAUCAAUAAAGGGGUAUUGUAGGCCAAUAUUAGUCAUUUAAAACAUAUACAAUGAUGAUAAUGAUGGUGAAAACCACUCCCCCCACUGGAUACUGACUGUAUUUGAAAUGCUUUUUGUUUAAUAGUAAUAAUAAUCAUUUUUAUUAUAACAACAAUAAACCAGAAGAAGAUUCCGUAGUUACCCCGGCAACGUUACGUCGCGCUUUACGUUAACGUGACGUAGCCACAUUACCCACAAUCACCUCACUUUCAUUAAUUUCAUCCGAUUUAAUCUGACAACGGACAACUGUAAGUAUCUAAAAUCAAGGGGAGUUUAUUUCUUUAAAACACGAAAUAAUAUUGCUUUUAUUUAUUCCACUGUAGCACAGUCUCUAUAGCGUUUCAUUCCUGGAUAUUAGUUUGAGUUUUGUAGUGUGUUUAGCUUUUACAAUAGGCCAACUAGCGGCCACGUUCAGCUAGCCUCCGGCCUUCCGGUCAACGUUUUGAGCUGGAUAGCAUUUAUAGUUUAUACAGCUAAAUUACAUUAGCUGUCACCGGCACAGUUGGAUAGUGGAGGUGCGUGCUAGAAAAAUAUGUUUACAUUUAUGUAUUUGCACAUGUGUUGUAAAGACAGUGUUCAACACAGUUUUAAUAGUGGCUAAUGCAUCGGCUAUGGAGUGGAACAAAAAUGUGGAACUGGAGUUUUUCCAGAGGAUUUGACUGGCCACCCAAUGUCCCACUCUGAAUCAGAAAUACUUCAUUGAUCUCCGGGGGAAAUUGGGAUUGUUACAUUGUAGAAUUUAAAUAUAUAGUAGAAGAUAUAAGAAAAACAAGUGCAUAAUAUAACAAUAUGCACAGUAUAAAUGCAUAAUGUAUGCCAGAGUAUUGCUCAGAUGAAUUAUUAUUGCAUAUAGAGUAAUGCACAGAUUAAUUAUUAUUGCAUAGAGUAUUACACAGAUGUUACUGUUAUUCGAAAUAAUCCUAAUCAUGUUUUUCUUUUUUUCUGUUUUACAGCUUCAUUACAACACUUAAUAUCACCAACACACACAUAUCCACACACACACACAUAUAAAACCAACGGCACUUUUAAGAGCCACUCUUUCUCUCACUGUCUCUCUUUCUAUCACUCUCUCACUUUCUCUUUUAAUCACUCUCUCACUUUCUCUGUUAAUCACUCUCCUGUCUUUCUCUCACUCUUCAUUUUGUGUAUUGUUUGUAUUAUUUGUAUGCCAUGUCCCUCAACCCUGAAGUGAGGGUCUUUGAGGAUCCCAAUGAGGCCACGGUGCACAUGGCAUCAUUGAUUAGCGAGGCUCAUCUCCUUGAGGCCAGGACUGCCAUGGCCACGGAAACCCCUGCCAUCCCUCCGGAAAAGAAAAGAAAAAGCAGGAAGAGACCUCUUUCUAAUCCAGUGGUCACACGCAGACGUGAGAGACAAUGGGAAACACAACGCCCCGCAUCAGCUUCACAAGCCAGAAGAGACGAUCCUGUGCAUGAGGAAGGCCUUCAGCUAGAACAUCAAGAGUUUGGUAGUCUUGAAACUCAUCUUUAAGAGUUAAGGGACACCCUAACUGCAGUACAGGUUCCGGAGGCAACAGACGGAACGGUUUCUGCCUGGGCACAAAGGCAGCUUCUCACAGAUGUGAGAAUGAAAACGGCUAGGCCAAUGCUUUUUAAUGCAAAACUCUCAGCUGAGAGAAUAGCCAUUCAGAAGUGCCACAGAUGCUGUGCAGAAGAAGCGGCUAUUAGGUGCCUGGACUGUGUUCCACUGGACAUGGAGUUCCUCUGUGCAACCUGUGACAUGGAGGCCCACAAGAGGAAUAUCUUCCAUGACAGAGAGGCUGUGUUCAAUGGAUUUCUGGAGCCCAUUCCCCCUACAACUGCUGUGGUGGUGGAUGAAAAUGGCCAGCCUCAGUUUUGUGAACAAAUAUGUCAACUGCCUGUUCCUACUCCAAGGUCAAUCUGUGAAUGCUCUGAUGACGUCACAGUGACUCCUUGGAAGCAUAUUUCUGUGGUCACCAUCAACGGACGAUACAAUGUCUGCUUGUCUCGGAAAUCCUGUCCAUCCUGCUCUGCAGAAUGGACUCC